rnacentral:rRNA from 1 species
UAAAGUGGCGACCGGGUGAGUAACACGUGACUAACCUACCUUCAAGUGGGGGAUAACCUCGGGAAACCGGGGCUAAUACCGCAUAAUAUCUUUGGGAUGGAAAUUCUGGAGAUCAAAGGAGCAAUUCGCUGGAAGAGGGGGUCGCGGCUGAUUAGCUAGUUGGCGGGGUAAUGGCCCACCAAGGCUUUGAUCGGUAGCCGGCCUGAGAGGGCGCACGGCCACACUGGAACUGAAACACGGUCCAG